CAAAAUUUAGUAGAUUACCACAGCAGUUUACGACCAAUAUAGCCUUAGUCCUGCACGCAGGUAUGGCUCGGUCAGACUUUCGUCCAUUGCCGAAAAUUCCUCACUGCUGCCACCCGUAGGUGUNUGGGCCGUGUCGCAGUCCCAGGGUGACUGAUCAUCCUCUCAGACCAGUUACCCGUCUUAGCCUUGGUAAGCCAUUACCUUACCAACUAGCUGAUGGGACGCAAGCAUAACUUUAAGCGAAAAACCUUUAGACUCUCGUCCACAUUUGGGAUUACCUAACCUUUCGAUUAGCUAUACCAAACUUAAAGCUACUACUUACGUGUUACUCACUCGUUUGCCGCUCGUCGACAGGAAGCAAGCUUCCCUCGUUACCGCUCGACUUGCAUGUGUAAAGCCUACCGCCAGCGUUUAUCCUGAGCCAGGAUCAAA
rnacentral:rRNA from 1 species